CAGGAUGAGAGGCGGAGGAGGAGGGAUGCGACCGGCCGCUGGAGCAGAAAAGCGGCUGAGAACAGCAGAGGAACAGCGGGCGGAGUGAACACAGCCUCCGGCAGCUCCGACCGGCCUCUGUCCGCGCAGCCCGGAGCCCAGCCCAGCCCCGGAGCCCGAAACCCGGCCCUCAGGAUAUUUAUAGAAAUGAUCUUCACCAUCAUCAGCUGAAGAGCAGCUCCCUCCUGCAGCUCCACACAGAACAACAUGGAGACCGGAGCGGGGGUCGCCCUGUGGACCAUCCUGCUGCUGCUGCUGACCGCCGCGUCUGAUCUGAACGGUGAUUCCACUGCAUCUCCUCCAUCCCUGACCCUUAAUAAUGUCAUCUCCACCGCUUCUCAUCUGACCCCAAAAACGGACAUUGUGGAGGUCCAGUCUGGUCCAGCCCACACUGAGACUUUACACCCUGCAGAGACAACACUCCCUCCUUCAUCAGAGCUGAACACACAGACUGCCAGCAGGAUGGAUACCUCACCUCCCCCAGCCAGUACACACACACCUGGACUAGGUCUUGAGAGAGAGGCCACACAGGCUUCUGCAGAUACGAGUCCACCUCUCAUCUCAGUGAGGAGCACGGCUGUUACUCCAGGAUCCAUGAUAACUCUUUCUGCUGCAGCAUCCACAACUUCUACUGCCAGUGCCUCUGAGACGAUUCCAACAACUUCUUCAGGUGCUUCUUCCAGACCUGCUUCUACUCUGACUGCCCUGAUAGACAGAAUCCAGCCUUCAGGACCUGUUCCUCUGGAGAACCCACAUCAGGAUGGACCUUCUGAACUGGAUGUCGGAGAUGAAGAUUCAUCCAAAGUGCCUCACGCCUCUCCGUGGGAUCCCCUCCUCGCUGCUCUGGUCUCCAUCUUCAUCGUCAGCACUGCCCUGGUCUCCAUCAUGCUCUUCCUCAGGUUUCGGCAGCAAAGUGAGCACCCAGAGUUCCAUCGACUGCAGGACCUCCCCAUGGAUGACCUCUUGGAGGACACGCCUUUGUCAAGAUACUCGUAUUAAGAAGAUACUCAGGACCACUGUCUUCAUACUGAAGACCCUCAGGCCACUGAAGCCGCUGUUAAAGGUCCUAAGAACCAAAUGAGGCACUGCUUGGAUCUCCUAGUUUUACAGUUUUACAGAAAUAGCCAUACAGUAAACACUACACAGAACACCAUACUACAAGUAUGCAGACACCUUUUCUAAUGAAAUAAUUCAGCUGCACAUGUUGUUAACACAGGCAUACGCUUAGUUUUAUAAUCUAGAAUAAGAAAAAGAUAGAUUAGAGCGUAAUGGUCUGUAGUUGCCAGACAUUAACCUGAAACCACCAUGUUUCCAAAACGGGCAUUAAGCUUAGUCUCAGACUACACAGUAUUUUGAAUUAAGAUUUUCUAUUAGAAGGAAAAUAUAGUCUAUAUGACUUGGCUUAAUCCCUUUCCAGGAAACCCACCUUAAGUGAGAUCCAUCACAUAUAGAACAUGUUUCUCGAGUGGGAUAUUCUUAAAACUGCAAAAAAUGGCAAAAUCUUGGCAGGUAAAGUUCUAUAAAUGGUCCAAAUAUCUUGUAACACAAUAUUAUACAUGAUACAAUACACUAAAUAAAGUAAUACUAAAAAUAUAUAAAGCUCUGGAA
ensembl:lncRNA